rnacentral:rRNA from 1 species
UACGUAGGGGGGCAAGCGUUGUCCGGAUUUAUUGGGCGUAAAGAGCGUGUAGGCGGCCAUACAGGUCAGCUGUGAAAACUCGAGGCUCAACCUCGAGACGUCGGUUGAAACCGUAUGGCUAGAGUCCGGAAGAGGAGAGUGGAAUUCCCGGUGUAGCGGUGAAAUGCGCAGAGUAUCGGGAAGAACACCCGUGGCGAAGGCGGCUCUCUGGGACGGUACUGGACGGCUGAGACGCGAAAGCGUGGGGAGCGAACAGG